CCUACGGGAGGCAGCAGUAGGGAAUAUUGCUCAAUGGGGGAAACCCUGAAGCAGCAACGCCGCGUGGAGGAUGAAGGUUUUCGGAUUGUAAACUCCUUUUGUUAGAGAAGAUAAUGACGGUAUCUAACGAAUAAGCACCGGCUAACUCCGUUCCAGCAGCCGCGGUAAUACGGAGGGUGCAAGCGUUACUCGGAAUCACUGGGCGUAAAGGGCGCGUAGGCGGGAUAUCAAGUCAGAUGUGAAAUCCUAUGGCUUAACCAUAGAACUGCAUUUGAAACUGUUAUUCUAGAGUAUGGGAGAGGUAGGUGGAAUUCUUGGUGUAGGGGUAAAAUCCGUAGAGAUCAAGAGGAAUACUGAUUGCGAAGGCGGCCUGCUAGAACAUAACUGACGCUGAUGCGCGAAAGCGUGGGGAGCAAACAGGAUUAGAUACCCGUGUAGUC
rnacentral:rRNA from 1 species